rnacentral:rRNA from 1 species
AUUGAACGCUGGCGGCAUGCCUUACACAUGCAAGUCGAACGGUAACAGAUCUUCGGAUGCUGACGAGUGGCGAACGGGUGAGUAAUACAUCGGAACGUGCCUAGUAGUGGGGGAUAACUACUCGAAAGAGUGGCUAAUACCGCAUGAGAUCUACGGAUGAAAGCAGGGGAUCGCAAGACCUUGUGCUACUAGAGCGGCCGAUGGCAGAUUAGGUAGUUGGUGGGAUAAAAGCUUACCAAGCCGACGAUCUGUAGCUGGUCGGAGAGGACGAUCAGCCACACUGGGACUGAGACACGGCCCAGAGUCCUACGGGGGGCAGCAGUGGGGAAUUUUGGACAAUGGGCGCAAGCCUGAUCCAGCAAUGCCGCGUGCAGGAUGAAGGCCUUCGGGUUGUAAACUGCUUUUGUACGGAACGAAAAGCCCUGGGUUAAUACCCUGGGGUCAUGACGGUACCGUAAGAAUAAGCACCGGCUAACUACGUGCCAGCCGCCGCCGUAACAC